rnacentral:tRNA from 1 species
GCCAGCAUGGCUCAGUGGUUGAGUGUUGAACUAUGAACCCAGAGGUCUUGGUUUGAUUCCUGGUCAGGGCA